GCCGGGUGCGGGCGGAGUCUUCCUCGAUCCCGUGGUGCUCCGCGGCGCGGCCUUGCUCUCUUCCGGUCGCGGGACACCGGGUGUAGAGGGCGGUCGCGGCGGGCAGUGGCGGCAGAAUGUUGGCUACCAGGGUAUUUAGCCUAGUUGGCAAGCGAGCAAUUUCCACCUCUGUGUGUGUACGAGCUCAUGUAGAGACGGGGUUUCACCAUGUUAGCCAGGAUGGUCUCGAUCUCCUGACAUCGUGAUCCGCCUGCCUGGGCCUCCCAAAGUGCUGGGAUUACAGGUGUGAGCCACCGCGCCCAGCCCUGCAGAAAGUGUUGUGAAGAGCGAAGACUUUUCGCUCCCAGCUUAUAUGGAUCGGCGUGACCACCCCUUGCCGGAGGUGGCCCAUGUCAAGCACCUGUCUGCCAGCCAGAAGGCAUUGAAGGAGAAGGAGAAGGCCUCCUGGAGCAGCCUCUCCAUGGAUGAGAA
rnacentral:lncRNA from 1 species